UACAGAGGUCUCAAGCGUUGUUCGGAUUCAUUGGGCGUAAAGGGUGCGUAGGCGGCGCGGUAAGUCGGGUGUGAAAGUCAGGGGCUCAACCCUUGGAAGCCGGCCGAUACUGUCGGACUAGAGUCCGGAAGAGGCGAGUGGAAUUCCCGGUGUAGCGGUGAAAUGCGCAGAUAUCGGGAGGAACACCAAUGGCGAAGGCAGCUCGCUGGGACGGUACUGACGCUGAGGCGCGAAAGCGUGGGGAGCAAACAGG
rnacentral:rRNA from 1 species